UGCCCGCGGCGGGCAGAGCAGGGCCGCGCCUGCGCCGUGCGGGAAGAUGGCACCUGCCGGCUGCGGCUGCGGCUGCUCGGGCAGCUUGGGUGCUGCGGUGGUGCGGCCGCUGCUCCUGCUGCUGGGGGCGCUGGCCUGCGCGCGGGCCACCGAGCACUACUCUCCGCUGUCCUUGCUGAAGCAGGAGCUUCAGCACCGGCAGCAGCAGGAGGCCCCGGCGGGCGGCGGCUGUCCGCAGUCGGGGGACUGGGCGGACCAGUACCCGGAGUGCGAGUCGUCAUUUUUGAACUUCCACGAGUCUGACUGCGAACUGAGAGGCUCAGCACCCUGUGACUCGCUGCUCUCUCUCAACACUGAAAAGAUUUUGAGCCAGGCCAAGUCUAUUGCAGAGCAGAAGAGAUUCCCAUUUGCUACCGACAAUGACAGCACCAAUGAAGAAUUAGCGAUUGCUUAUGUCCUGGUGGGCAGCGGUCUCUACGAUGAAGCCAUAAGACACUUUUCCACGAUGCUCCAGAUUCUGUCCCCUCUGGGACGAAUUAACGAAGCCGUAAAUGAUCUCACUAAAGCUAUUCAGCUUCAGCCCUCGGCACGGCUGUACCGACACCGGGGGACCUUGUACUUCAUAUCUGAGGACUACGCGACAGCCCACGAGGACUUUCAGCAGUCCUUGGAGCUGAACAGAAACCAGCCCACAGCCAUGCUGUACAAAGGCCUAACUUUCUUUCACAGAGGACUUCUGAAGGAAGCCAUCGAGGCCUUCAAAGAAGCUCUGAAACAGAAAGUUGACUUUAUCGAUGCAUAUAAAAGUCUGGGACAGGCCUACAGAGAACUGGGCAACUUUGACGCAGCCACCGAGAGCUUCCAGAAGGCCCUGCUGCUCAACCAGAACCACGUGCAGACCCUGCAGCUGCGGGGAAUGAUGCUCUACCACCACGGAAGCCUGCAGGAGGCCCUGAAGAACUUCAAGCGCUGCCUGCAACUGGAACCGUACAACGAAGUGUGCCAGUACAUGAAGGGGCUGAGCCAUGUGGCCAUGGGGCAGUUUUACGAAGGGAUUAAAGCACAAACCAAAGUUAUGCUGAAUGACCCUCUUCCAGGCCAGAAGGCCAGCCCAGAGUACCUGAGGGUCAAGUACCUACGAGAGUAUUCUCGAUAUCUGCACGCACACCUCGAUACCCCUCUGACGGAAUAUAACAUUGACUCGGAUCUACCGGGCAGCUUCAAGGACCACUGGGCCAAGAACCUGCCUUUCCUCAUAGACGGCUAUGAAGAGCAGCCCGGCCUGCAGCCUCACAUUAGAGAUGUGUUACAUCAGAAUUUCGAGGGCUACAAGCCUGAAGUCCAGGAGCUGAUCUGUGUAGCUGACCGCCUGGGCUCGCUGAUGCAGUAUGAAACACCGGGGUUCCUGCCCAACAAGAGGAUACACAGAGCCAUGGGCCUGGCAGCACUGGAAGUCAUGCAGGCCGUACAUCGUACCUGGACCAACUCAAAGGUUCGCAUGAAUGGAAAAACAAGGCUGCUGCAGUGGAGGGACAUGUUCGACAUUGCUGUGAAGUGGAGAAGAACACACUCAACUCCUGCUGCUCAGGAAAUAAAAGCGAGGGUUGCCAGGUUUCUAAGCCACCAGUUAGCCCUCUCUGGAACCACCAUUACAGCUGUUUCCUUGGUUGACUCUAACAUCCCACCAAGUUGACAGUUUAGACGAACCGUUACAGCUCACCAGCCUUUGCUGGCCUCUCGCCUGGUGUGGCCACACUGUGCACUGGGAUGGCCUGUGUGCUCUUUUUCACAAGUCGGAGCCAGUCGGGCUCCUCCCUCACUUUUACAGAGACCCAUCUUUGGUUUAUCCUGGAAGCUGUGGGUAAGGCCGCAGCACUCCUCAUGAGCUCUGCUCCACAGGAUCGCUGAUCCGGACCAGCCUGUCCUGUGGCUGGAUCAGAUGCCAGCUCCAAGUCUCAGCAGAGGGUUCAAUAACCACAUCAACUUAAUCAGGGGUCAAGUGAUCAAUAUGAGAUAUCUGGAAUAUUUUGAGAAAAUACUUCAUUUUAUUAAAGAUAGAAUUCUUGUUUAUCACGGAGCAAAUAAUCCAAAGGGCUUAUUGGAAGUCAGAGAAGCUCUGGAAAAGGUACACAAAGUGGAAGACCUCCUUCCAAUUAUGAAGCAGUUUAAUACCAAAACAAAGGACGGGUUCACCGUGAACACCAAAGUCCCCAGCCUCAAAGAUCAAGGGAAGGAAUAUGACGGCUUCACCAUCACCAUCACAGGAGACAAGGUCGGCAAUAUCCUAUUUUCUGUGGAAACUCAAACCACAGAAGAGAGGACACAGCUGUAUCACGCUGAAAUAGAUGCACUUUAUAAAGACCUGACAGCGAAGGGCAAAGUACUGACCCUCUCGGCAGAAUUCGGGGAGGCUGAUGCUGUCUGCAACUUAAUCUUAUCCUUAGUGUAUUACUUUUAUAAUUUAAUGCCCCUGUCUCGAGGAUCUAGUGUCAUUGCGUAUUCAGUCAUUGUGGGAGCGCUGAUGGCCAGUGGCAAAGAAGUGGCUGGGAAGAUCCCCAAAGGGAAGUUAGUCGACUUUGAAGCCAUGACAGCCCCUGGCUCAGAGGCCUUCAGCAAAAUAGCAAAAAGCUGGAUGAACUUGAAGAGUAUUUCCCCUUCCUACAAGACCCUGCCAUCAGUAUCAGAGACGUUCCCGACUCUGAGGUCCAUGAUCGAGGUGCUCAACACGGAUUCCACCCCACGGUGUCUAAAGAAACUCUAGCCAGAUCAGAGGAUUUAUACACAUGAAGGGCCAGGCCUCUCACUUCUUAAGUUAUUUUUUAAGACAUGGAAUUAUUAUGGAAUUAGGUCCUUUAUUACUUUUGAUACCAAUUUUUGAUAGGAAUUGAAUACUUGAAAACAUUUUCUUUACUUUUUCUGAACCGUAAGAGAAAUCAUGAAAACGGGUUUUUUGGGGAAAAGCUACUUGACCAGGAAGGGAAGUAUGCGUAUUAGUGGCAGCCUGUUGGUUCCCAUGUGUUAAGGUAUACUGCUCCUUCCUUACAGCAAAAAAAUGUUUACUUCAGAAACCAAAAAUUAAUAAUUAAGAUGAAGAAAGCCAACAACCAACAGGGCUUGUCUUCACUGUCAGAGGUGUGGGUGUUCCUCAGACCUCCUUCCUGUGCACCUCUGUGGGGUGCCUCGCUACUGCCAUGCCCCCACAUGUGGGCCCUCCAGCCCCCCUAGAACUGUGGAAGGGCCCCAGCACCCACGGUUCCAUGGCUUGUGACAAGAAGCACUGGCCAGAUGACAGACAGUAUUUGCCAAUCACUGAACCAUAUUUUUCUUUUCUUUGUUGGAAAAAAUAAGCCGAGGUGAUUUCUGAAAGUCGCCAUGUUCAGGCACUGGAUUACGUUGUGUUUGUGUGCGAGCUAGUUUUGCUUUCAGGUGUAAGAGCGUUUAGAACGUUUCUUGUUUCCUCAGACAGGGUGGAAGAUGGAGGAAUAAGGUCCAUUAAAGGCUGCAGUUUCAAACCGUG